AACAUGAACGUUUACCACACGUUCUUCUGCUUCCUCUUCAUCGCACUGCAGGAUGGAAACUCUGGACUGGUCAAUGCAGACGGUGAAGUCUACACAGUAAUGGAAGGACAAGACUUCACAGUUUACUGUCCAUUUACUUCCUCUGGACGCACAAAGUUCUUCUGUAGGGAAACAUGUGAAGAAGGAAACAUUCUCAUUGAAACAACAAAAAACAAAGAUCAGAGAGGCAGAUACAGCAUUGAGUAUGAA